GGUCAUGGCUUAGUGGUAGAGUGCUUGCCUGGCAUGUGUGAGGCCCUGGAUUGGAUCCUCAGCACCA
rnacentral:tRNA from 1 species